AAACACACACUUUUUAGAUCGUGGACAUGUGCAAGGGCAGCGGUGAUCACGAGACACAGGUAAAGUUCUCGUUAUUGGAUUGCACAUGGUUGGAAAAUUAGUAUGGGUUAACAUUUAGGGCACUGGAAAUUUUAUGAAGCUCAAAGAACUGAGCAUAUUUUUAUUCUCAUUCUGCUUCAUCUUUCUUUCUUUAUUUAUUUUUUCUCUUUUUCUUCUUUUUCUCAUCUCAUUUUUCUCUUUUUUUUAUUUUGCCUCCUCGGAACUUUUUGCAACAUAAUACCUACUCAACAAUAGUGUCAGAGAAUAAAUGAUGGUUGUCCUCAACAUGAAAGAUAGAAUAAAUGAUUGCUGACGUAACUAUAAGUAUAAAAUCCUUUGGUCUUCUGCAGAAAAUUAUUUGAAUCUCUAGGGAGGUCAUCCAAGCCAAAAAUUGGAGCUUCCAGAGGUGGGAACAACCCA
rnacentral:lncRNA from 1 species